GAUAUUUUGCAAAUAUAUGGGCGAAUAUUUGUUAUAUAUUUGUGAAUUCGCUAUCUUCGUUUACAUUUUUUUCAUUACUAAAAUGGCAAUGUAAAAUUCUCUUGAUACACAUGCGCAAAAAGGGACAUGGCCUAGCAACUGUUUUCGAACUACCCCAAGUUUGAGGCGAUUGGAAAAGAUAGUUGGAAGCAAUUUAUUCGAGACAGUGAAGAAGAACUCCUGAUCAGUCGCAUGUUGAAGCGGGGCUAUGACCGGACCCGGGUCCACGCUGAGAAGCAGGCCAUUAAUCAGGGGGUUCUUCUUUGAACCUGUGCACCUGUCGUGUCAAAUCAGAGUGAGCCACCUGCACAGCAUCCAUUGUAAAAAAAAAAAUGGUCGGAUUUGAAGAGGAGGAAUUCAGAGCGCAUCAGAGAGAUCUGUGACAGAAAAUGGCCAGCUCCUGACGAGGAAGAAGAGGAGGAGGAGGAGAAGGAGGUUGUCACCAGCCCCCACCAGGAGGUACUCGAUAAAUAAAUAAAAAAAUUAUGCAGCUGCAGCAGGACGACCAAAUGGCAAUGCUAGAAAUCAGAGCCCAGCAAAAGAUAAUAUGGGAGCAGCAAAGGAGGUUACAUUGGCAGCAGCGGCAUCUGGAUAAGAAGGUGCAUCAGCUGGAGGAGCUGCACCGUAAGGGGAUCCAGGAGUUGCUGGACCUCCACAAUCAACUAAAAAAGUUGCCUUGAAAGCAUAUUUGUUCCUCAA